CUAGCGACUUCAGAGUUUGAUCCUGGCUCAGGACGAACGCUGGCGGCGUGCUUAACACAUGCAAGUCGAGCGGGGAUUGAUGAAGUGCUUGCACGGAUUCAAUUCUAGCGGCGGGCGGGUGAGUAACGCGUGAACAAUCUGUCCCAGACAGGGGGAUAACACUUGGAAACAGGUGCUAAUACCGCAUAAGACCACGACACCACAUGGUGAUGAGGUAAAAGAUUUAUCGGUCUGGGGUGAGUUCGCGUCCGAUUAGCUAGUUGGUGAGGUAACGGCCCACCAAGGCGACGAUCGGUAGCCGACCUGAGAGGGUGAUCGGCCACAUUGGAACUGAGACACGGUCCAA
rnacentral:rRNA from 1 species